rnacentral:rRNA from 1 species
UACAGAGGUCCCAAGCGUUGUUCGGAUUCAUUGGGCGUAAAGGGCGCGUAGGCGGGGAGGUAAGUCGGGUGUGAAAUCCCUCGGCCCAACCGAGGAACUGCGCCCGAGACUGCUUCUCUUGAGUCCCGGAGAGGAAGAUGGAAUUCCCGGUGUAGCGGUGAAAUGUGUAGAGAUCGGGAGGAACACCGGUGGCGAAGGCGGUCUUCUGGACGGUGACUGACGCUGAGGCGCGAAAGCGUGGGGAGCAAACGGG